UCACCUCACCGGUAACCACUGGCUUCCUGGCCUGGGCUGGCCAGCCCUGCAGAAGGAGGAAGAAAAGCCAGCCGAGCUCUUCAUUCACCCUCAGGUUAUUUUAUUCACUCGGAGAGACAAAACCUGGACUUGAGCCCUGUUUCUGCCACUUACAAGUUGUCUGAACUUGGAUACGUAUGCUGAUCUCCACUACUUCAAUUCUAAAGGGCAGUUACUGUGAUGUCUUACCUGCCCCGUUCACAGGAUUGUUGGAAGAAUCGUGAGUUUUUGUACACGGUUUUGCACAUGAAAACUCGAGACAUCCAGCGAAGUCUCAAUUUCAGAUGAACAGUGACAUUUUUUUGAGUGUUCCUACGUGGCGUGCAGUGUUAGGUGUCAGCCUUCACGGAAAGAUAACCAGGGACAUCUUCAACUACCCACUUGGAAUGAUGGCUCUUAAUUUGUAAAGCACGGUUAGGUUAGAGAUUUACCCCACAAAACUAUGACUGGGGAAGGAGCACAGCUUAGCGAAGAUAGAUGUGCUUUCAUCCAUAGAUCUGAGUUCCUAUUCUGAUGUCCUUGCUAGCUGUGUGCCCUUGGGCGAGUUACUUAACCUCUCUGUGCUUCAAGUUCCAUCUCUAAAGUGAGGUGCCUAAAACUGCCUCCUUUGAAGGAGUGAGGGUUGUAGGGAGGGUCCAUGGACAACCUUAAUACAGUGCUUGGUCCCUAGGAAGUACUAACUAAAUAUUGUUUUUAUUUCUUGAAAAGUAUAAUCAGGAGAAUUGGGUAUUUUGACAUAUCUAUUUCGGUGUAUAUUCAGAAUGCAUAUUUAAUAACCUAAACGUGUAUUUGAGCAAAAAUGGACUUUGAGCCAACCUCGGAGACGGUCCCUCCUGAUCCUGUGUCUGAGGAUUCAGCCCCAUGUGUG